rnacentral:rRNA from 1 species
UACAGAGGGUGCAAGCGUUGUCCGGAAUUAUUGGGCGUAAAGCGCGUGUAGGCGGCUUUGCAAGUCGGGUGUGAAAGCCCUCAGCUUAACUGAGGAAGUGCGCCCGAAACUGCAGAGCUUGAAUACCGGAGAGGAUGGCGGAAUUCCCCAAGUAGAGGUGAAAUUCGUAGAUAUGGGGAGGAACACCGGUGGCGAAGGCGGCCAUCUGGACGGCUAUUGACGCUGAGACGCGAAAGCGUGGGGAGCAAACAGG